rnacentral:lncRNA from 1 species
AGCACGGGCGUUCAUCUACGAAGAACGAAAUGUGGCCAUAGCGAUGACCUUGAGGUAGUAGAGAAUUUCGAUAUUGACGUUUACAAAGCCUUUUCCUAUUGGUUCUCCUCACCGCUUGUCACUCAGGACGUCAAAAGUGUCAAAUAUCUCGCCGUUAUAAUUUUCAUCAUUACAAGUGUUUGCGUUGAUUAAUUUCCGUACCUUUAUUUCUCCGUAAUAAUUGUGAUAUUCAGUGCUACUUGGCAUUUUGAUCUUCAAAAUGCUUCGCAAGUGCUGUAUACCCGGCUGUGAUAGCAGUAAUAAACGAAAAGACGUUAUGCUGCACAAAAUGCCAGCAGCCAGUGAAAAAGUGACAAUGUGGUGUAUAAAUCAGCAGUUUUCAACAUGUUGGAAAGUUUGACAUCAAAUGGAAUCGGCAAACUGUACGUUUGCCACAAACACUUCGAAGCCAGAUAUGUCUCUUCGAAGUUGCGCUUACGGCCUAACACGUGUCCAACAUUAUUUACCUACUGAAGAAGAAAUCACCACGGGACCACCGGCUCACCCUUCGGUUGAACGAGGAUUCAUUGAACUUGAAAUGAGGAACUCUGACCACUCGUAUGCAAGGAGAUGUCAUAUUGACCACACUUAUGCCAUGAGCGCACCAACAAAUAAUUCAGAUGAUGCUGCUGUUUUACCGCCAUACAUCACAACUGGAGCUGAUUCAGGUGGAGUUACACUGGAACAUAUUACAUCGAGUGUAGAACUGUCUAUUGAGCCAUCAUCCUGUCUUAAUUCAGAGCGCGUCCAAUCCAGCUCAAGUCAAGCCUGCUCGUCGCGGCUGUGAAGUCAUCGUUUGAGCCAACUUCACCACAAACAGUGGUGGACUCAUCAAAGUCUAAUGUGGCUCAGGCUUGCGUCACAACUCCGGGGCCAUCCGUCAAUUACAAUGACCUUCCUAAAG